UGGGGAGUACGAACGCAAGUUUGAAACUCAAAGGAAUUGACGGGGGCCCGCACAAGCGGUGGAUUAUGUGGUUUAAUUCGAUGAUACGCGAGGAACCUUACCAAGGCUUAAAUGGGAAAUGACAGGUUUAGAAAUAGACUUUUCUUCGGACAUUUUUCAAGGUGCUGCAUGGUUGUCGUCAGCUCGUGCCGUGAGGUGUUAGGUUAAGUCCUGCAACGAGCGCAACCCCUGUCACUAGUUGCCAUCAUUAAGUUGGGGACUCUAGUGAGACUGCCUACGCAAGUAGAGAGGAAGGUGGGGAUGACGUCAAAUCAUCACGGCCCUUACGCCUUGGGCCACACACGUAAUACAAUGGCCGGUACAGAGGGCAGCUACACAGUGAUGUGAUGCAAAUCUCGAAAGCCGGUCUCAGUUCGGAUUGGAGUCUGCAACUCGACUCUAUGAAGCUGGAAUCGCUAGUAAUCGCGCAUCAGCCAUGGCGCGGUGAAUACGUUCCCGGGCCUUGUACACACCGCCCGUCAAGCCAUGGAAGUCUGGGGUACCUGAAGUCGGUGACCGUAACAGGAGCUGCCUAGGGUAAAACAGGUAACUAGGGCUAAGUCGUAACAAGGUAGCCGUA
rnacentral:rRNA from 1 species